rnacentral:tRNA from 1 species
UCCGCAUUAGCUCAGCUGGUUAGAGCGCACGGCUGUUAACCGUGGGGUCACCAGAUCCUGGUAGGCGGGG